AACUUUUAACAACGGAUCUCUUGGCUUUUGCAUCGAUGAAGAACGUAGCAAAUUGCGAUAACUAGUGUGAAUUGCAAAUUCAGUGAAUCAUCGAGUCUUUGAACGCAUCUUGCGCUCAUUGGUAUUCCAGUGAGCACGCCUGUUUCAGUA
rnacentral:rRNA from 3 species